UGGAGAUUUUUAGAUUAAUUUGGAUCUCAAGAUAUAUGACCCGAUCCGAUCUGAAUCGGAUCCAAAUAUAAGAUCCGAACUCAAUUAGAAUGGCUCAUCCAAAUAAGAAUUUGGGCUUGGAUCAAAAGAGUGACUCAUCCAAAUUUUUUCUUAAAUUUCUUACUAAAAUCUUUAAUACUGUCACACUGUCACAAGAUCAUUAAUACACUGCACAAGAAAUGCCAUUCUUACAG
rnacentral:lncRNA from 1 species